GAUGAACGCUAGCUACAGGCUUAACACAUGCAAGUCGAGGGGUAACGAGAGGAAAGCUUGCUUUCCUUGUCGACGACCGGCGCACGGGUGAGUAACGCGUAUCCAACCUGCCCACCACUUGGGGAUAACCUUGCGAAAGUAAGACUAAUACCCAAUGAUAUCUCUAGAAGACAUCUGAAAGAGAUUAAAGAUUUAUCGGUGAUGGAUGGGGAUGCGUCUGAUUAGCUUGUUGGCGGGGUAACGGCCCACCAAGGCGACGAUCAGUAGGGGUUCUGAGAGGAAGGUCCCCCACAUUGGAACUGAGACACGGUCCAAACUCCUACGGGAGGCAGCAGUGAGGAAUAUUGGUCAAUGGGCGAGAGCCUGAACCAGCCAAGUAGCGUGCAGGAUGACGGCCCUAUGGGUUGUAAACUGCUUUUAUAAGGGAAUAAAGUGAGAGUCGUGACUCUUUUUGCAUGUACCUUAUGAAUAAGGACCGGCUAAUUCCGUGCCAGCAGCCGCCGCCG
rnacentral:rRNA from 1 species